rnacentral:rRNA from 1 species
UACAGAGGAGCCAAGCGUUGUCCGGAUUGACUGGGCGUAAAGCGCACGCAGGCGGUUGCGCGCGUGGGGUGUGAAAUCUGGCCGCUUAACGGCCAGGCGCCAUCCCAUACGGCGCGACUGGAGGGCUGCAGAGGUCGAUGGAAUUGCCGGUGUAGUGGUGAAAUGCGUAGAGAUCGGCAGGAACACCCAGGGGGGAAACCAGUCGACUGGGCAGCACCUGACGCUGAGGUGCGAG